CAAGAAAAAGAUCAUCCGCUGUGGCUGGGGAGGGCCUGAAGAACCCGGUGUUCCGGUCCCCUGCUGCUGGGAAGGAAUCUGAUGAAAUAAACACAGCUAUGCUCCAAGAUGUACGUUCAAGAAUGUUCUCUGAAGCGCUCCUUCUAAUAAUGAAAACCGGAAACCAUUUAAGUGUCCAACGAGAGCGGAGGAAGGUUCCUCUUUUUCUGGUCUGUGGCUUGUGCUCCCAAAGAAACACAGGACUGGAAAUUGGACCUUGGAAACCAGCUGAAGUUUCCAAUC